rnacentral:lncRNA from 1 species
GUAAAUAUAUAAUACCUCUUAGGAACCACAAGAAUUCUUAAAGUUAUACUAUGGCACUCCUGAAAAAUAAGUGACUUAAAGGAAGGAAUUCUAGCUUAUGAUGGCACUAGGUUCCCUUCCCCUCAUGUAGGCUCUCCUAACUAAUCAGUGAAAUAACAAUAAAUUCACAGAAAGAGGCAAACAUUAAUAAUACUGAAAACUAAGUCUGACAGAACGUCUGUUGGCAAAAUUCACGUGAAAUUUCCCUAAGGCAGGUGGAACUGGUUGAAGAAAACCAAUGUUUUCUUGGUUUUCAGUGGUACGGCGUGGUGAUUAUAGUUAACAAUAAUGUAUACUUGAAAUUUGCUAAGAGAAUAGAUUUAAGUAUUCUCACUACAGGAAAAAAAGGGAACUGUGUGAGGUGCUAGAUAGUUAAUUAGUUUGAUUGUGGUAAUCAUUUCACAAUGUAUGUGUGUAUAUUUAAGGUGAUAUCAACAUCAGUUUGUACAACUUAAAUAUAUACAAUUUGUAUUAGUUAACAAUACCUCAAUAAAGCUGGAUUAAAAAGAGAAAAAAACCUAUUGGUGGCUUCUUUUGGCUUUCCCUUAUUAAACAGAGAGGCCUCAAUGACUGGAAAGAUGACAGGAAGACCCAUUGCCCCUUCCCCACUCUCUGUCACCAGCUUAGAGACCAGGUCAAUACAUCCAACUUGGAGCACGCCAUUUACUGCCGGAAGCAUCUGUAAUCCUUCUCUUUUCACCCCAUCUUUUUAAUUCUGUUGAGAGAUGACCACUCUCAGAAACGAGCAGGACAGGAAGGACAGUGAUUUUGUAGUUGCUUUGAAAGUAUUGCAAUAACAAAGCUUACUGGAUAGUGUAGUUUUUCUGGCAGGGUAUUGGUGACAGAGAAGGAGGUAGCAUGAGAAAGGGCCAUUUUUUUAUAAAAACCUAGGGUGACAGGUUUAAUCAUAUAGGUUAGCAUUUUUAAAAAGUAGAUGGAAGUUUUAUUAUAUGAAACUUUGGUUGGGGCAUUGGGUUAGGAGUACUUUGUUUUUGAAAGUCCUGGCUGUUGAAUAUCAGGUCCCUGAAGAGAAUGAAGCAAUAUUUGGAGGAAUUUCUUUUCUUUUUCUACUAUCCUUAAGUAUGUGUUUCCUGAGAGUAGCUAGUACCUUCCUCUAAAGAUUUACUUGUUGCAUUUUUUUUUCUUAGUGACAAGCAUAAGGGCAUAUUUUACGACAUGUUGGUAGAAAAACUUCUGUUGGAUGAUUAUUUAUGGUAUAUGCCUAUGAUGUAUAAGGCAAUAUGCUAGCUUGAUAAGCAUCCAAAGAGAUAUAGAACUGGAUGACUGGACAAGUGAAGGAGCUAGAAAUGUUUCAUAGUUUUAUCUCAUUUACUUUGAACAACAUUUCUUCAAGAUAGAUGUUACCCUGAUUUUGUUUUUAAAUACACAGUAAGGGAGUACAUAAAGUAUCACAGAUAAAUCAGUGUGAAAGUUAAGACAGAUAUUUCCCCUUCAAGCUUUAAAAUGAAGAUAAGGACUUGGGAUGGUGAUGAUAUUAUUCACUUGUGCACCUGAAGAAACAGCCCUGAGGAGGAAAGAGUGUCUCAUAUCCUGGAAGACUCAGAACUUCUACAAAAGAAUAGAAGUUUCAUAUUGAGAUACUUCCCAUAGGAGUGAGUCACCGGCUGCUAAGAUCGCCCAAGAUAAACAGCUGAGUGGAAUCACAUUUUAAAUAUCUGGAAAACCUUCUUCCUCUUCCUUUUGGUAUACUUAUAUAUAAUUAUAAUAUAUAUUAUAUAAGUAUAUAUACUACUGCACUCUAGCCUGGGCAACAUAAUGAGGCCCUGCCUCAAACAAAUAAACUAAACAAAACAAGAAACCUGCAGUAACAGGGAUGCCUAGAAGAGGGUAACACAGAGCUAACCUGUAGUAAGUUCAGUAAGUGUUGAAUCAAUGAAUGAAUGGGUUCCUUGGAUGAGGGAGAAAGCCCAAAGCUCAGCGUGUUGUAGUUAUUUGUUACAUUUAUAUACAAGGUUGUCCAGGAUGUAUAAUCCAGGCUUUGUUGAGUGGAUGAGGGUAUCCUGACUGGGGCCUGGCAACCCCCCGACAUCCACAGAGGAAAACAAGUGUUUGUGAGAGAAGUGAUAGAAUUUGUCAAAAGUAUAUGAAAUUAGUUACAUAAAAUCUGAAACAUACAUUGUGGUUCUGUUUGUCCUGUGACUAUGUAAAAUUGCCAUUGAAAAAACCCAGAAAGCCGGAGAUGGAUCUGUGGCAGUACAAGGGAGAGCUAAUUAUAACACCAUUGUGUCACUCAAAUGUUGUGGUCAGACUAUUGAAGGUGUCUUUUAUUUCAAGUGAACUUUUUCUUUUCUUUUUUUUUUUUUAACUGAGGGUGACCCAUGUUCUGACUUCCUUUUGAAGUCAUCAGGCCUCAUAAACAGAAUCAGACUUGAAUGCUUAAGUCAUCCCUUUCCUGUUUGUAGAAUACUACCCUAUUCCACUUUUUCCUGUUUGGAUGCUUUCUUACUUGUCCUGUUUGAUCCUUUUAACUCUUAUAAGGUAGACAGAGAGAGUUGUUCCUGUAUUCAUGAUGAGACAGUUAAGACACAGCAAAUUAAGUGACCAGUGCUAUUUGUUUGAAGAACUUAGUUUAUUCUUCUGUGUACUUAUUUUCCACAUCUGCAGAACUGUGACCAUCCUCCACAUAAUUUAUAGUCCAUACCAAGUAGUGGAUCAAACGAGCUCCUGCCAGGCAGUCACCAGCUUCUGAUGAGAACAGCAGCAUGCAGCCUGCACUUCAAUGCUGCACUCCCAAGACCAGCUGUGGCCCCCACACUGCCAGUGCUGUGUGUAACGGGUGCUCUGUAGUUCAGUAUUAUUGAUUUCCUAUAGAUUCUUUAUUUUUUAAAUAGCCCAUGUCAGUUUCUUUCUUUUAAGUGUGGGAAGGGUCCUAAGCUUUAGUUUCCUGUUCUGUAAAGAGGGAUGAUACUCUUUGCCUUGUUUAUCUACCAUGCAAUUAUUAUGAUCAAGUGAGAUUAUUUUUGUGAAGCCAUGUAAACUAUAAAGUGCUUUCCAAGCAUGAGGAAUUACUGUGGAUGAUCUUGAGUUUCACAUGGAGGUCAGGAGCAGUUAAAAUUGUUGGUUGUGAUACCAUCCAUAAUCUCUUCUCUCAACACCCUCUGCAAGCUCUAAGGGGGGGGGAUUGUAGGGGUCACACAGGUGUUAUUGCUAGAAAAUGAAAGAGCAGAAAGGCUUCACAAGCCCACUGAGAAGGACUUAGCUCACACUUCUGGGAACCAGUGUCCAAGGCGUGUGACCAUAGGAACAGAGACUCUCUGUCAGGAAGGAGUCACCAGCUGACUCCAAGGGCCGGGGUUUUUAUGAGGAGAGUCAG